rnacentral:rRNA from 1 species
ACUCCUACGGGAGGCAGCAGUAAGGAAUAUUGGGCAAUGGACGCAAGUCUGACCCAGCCAUGCCGCGUGGAGGAUGAAGGUCCUCUGGAUUGUAAACUUCUCUUAUCUGGGAAGAAAUCCAUAUUUUCUAAUGUGGUUGACGGUACCAGAUGAAUAAGCACCGGCUAACUCCGUGCCAGCAGCCGCGGUAAU